rnacentral:rRNA from 1 species
UACGUAGGGUGCAAGCGUUACUCGGAAUUACUGGGCGUAAAGCGUGCGCAGGCGGUUUUGUAAGACAGAUGUGAAAUCCCCGGGCUCAACCUGGGAACUGCAUUUGUGACUGUAGAGCUUGAGUACGGCAGAGGGGGAUGGAAUUCCGCGUGUAGCAGUGAAAUGCGUAGAUAUGCGGAGGAACACCGAUGGCGAAGGCAAUCCCCUGGGCCUGUACUGACGCUCAUGCACGAAAGCGUGGGGAGCAAACAGG